GGUUGUGAGUGUGGUUUGGCUGUGACUCCUGUCACCCCACUGAUCCCCAGGGUUGAUUUGACUGAUCACACUGGCUAGGGGGUGUCCCUUUCCUUCCUCACUGCUCCAUGCGCGUCCCUCCCACAGAGGAGGACCAUUCGUUGGUCAAGGAUGUACAAGCAUCUGUGUUCCUCUGCUAGAACCUCCAAAUAAGUUCUCAAAGUAAGACUUUCAGUGUAGGGAAAAGGUCUUUUAUUUUGCCUUACUGACAUUUACUCUUAUAU
rnacentral:snRNA from 1 species